AUAUAAUAACUAAGAAAACGAAAGAAGUAAUAGGUAGUGCCUUUCAAUGCAGUAUCAAUCAUAUUCUUUUUAUAUCUUAGUUCAAAUCAAUAUUUCAUUUAUGACAAUUAUCUAGUUUUAUUUCUAAGGAACUGACCACCCUCGGAGAAAGAUGACCACACUUGCCGACCCAACCAUAACGACCCACUCCCUAAGACAUCUGGAACCACCGGAUCCACCAGAAAUCGGAAUUCAUAUGGAGGAAGACGUGUCGCCCAAGCAGUCCUUUAGGGAGAUCCUAAUGGACAAACAAGCAGAAAUAAACUGCUCCUACUACGACAACAGGGGAAAAAUUACAGCCAUCCAUCCUGAAGAAAAAGAUGGUAUAAUAUUGACAGAGGAAGAAAAACAGAGACAAUACCCUCAUGGAGACACUCAGUGAUUGUCAAGUUGGUUGGACGAAUGUGUCACACUAAUUCCUAAAGAACAAGUUAAUAAAGCUAUGAAAACCCAUCGAAAAUCUUAUUCUAAUUGAUUUGGGAUGGGAUUUCUACAUAGCAAAAUUUUGCAGUAAGAGAACAAACAAAAGGCACUACACGAAGGGUCGUGGUUUGUGAUUGGGGGCUUCCUUUCAGUGCAACAAUGGGUGCCAAACUUCACCCCGCAAGAAUCCACAAUCACACACAGUGCAAUCUGGACGAGGCUCCCACAACUCACGACUAAAUUUUACUAUAAGCAGAUCCUAGAGAGGGUUGGGGAAAAAUUGGGAGCACUCUUAAAAAUCGACUAAAAUUGGGAGAUAUGCACGUAUAUGCAUUCAAGUUCCACUAAGAACAUCAGUAAAGACAUCAGUCAUUAUUGGAGACCACAUACAGAAGGUAGUCUAUGAGGGAGAUGGAACGUUGUGCACUGGAUGCGAUAGGAUUGGUCACAUCCCCAAAAAUUGUUCAUUCAUAAGGGUAGACCAAUCACCACAAACUAGCCAACAAUAAUCAGGAAGCGGCUCGAAGAUAGAUCAAUGAUAAACAAUUACAUUCAAAAAGAGGAAGCCAAAGCAACCCCCGAGAGGCAAUCCACACACUCUUAAAGCUGGACCUCACAACAGGAUAAACGGUAGCUACAAUAAAUAGGUAACACAGGUAAAGGUUUCCAAUGCGGCAACAGGUAGUUGCUGCAACAGUUGAGAGCUUCAGCACCCACCCACAUCUUCAGGGAGCAGAACAAGGUAGCGGAUCAAAUGACCAAGGAGGGCUCUAGGGAAGCCUCAACGAAAGAACUAACGGUGUUUGAAGUCCCCUCAAUGUUUGUGGAGAAAGAAGUGGAAGCAGACAUUGUGGGAACUUCUUAUCCUAGAAAUAUAUCUCUAAACUUUGUUUGUAAUUUUGCUACUGAACAAGCUUGUAAUAUUGCUACUUCUGAUGGCCAUCAGGCAGGCCAAACUGCACUAAUCCCUCCAGAUAGGGGUACUUUAUGUCCUUAAUGAACAACUUUUGCUGAAA